rnacentral:sRNA from 1 species
UUUUAGCCCCGAUAAUAGUGAAAAUCCUCCCGAUUUUUUUCGGGAGAUUGUAACGGAUAGCGGGACGAUGU